CACAAAAGUUCAUGCACACAGCUACAUGUGUGCGCACAGGCUUAUGACCAAACGCGCACAGAUACGCGUGUACUCGCACACAUCUGGUCUGAGGUCUUGAGCUGGUGAGGGGGGAGGCAGGCACGGGGAGCUAACGGAAGGAGUCUUCAAAUUUCCCUGGCUGGGGUGUUUGCAAGCAAAUGCAUAAAAGUGCUGAUUUCUAACUUUUAUAAACUGGGGUUAAACUAGGCAACUCCUCACCCAUAAAGCACUUCUUUGGGGUGUGGAU